UACGUAGGGGGCAAGCGUUGUCCGGAUUUAUUGGGCGUAAAGAGCGUGUAGGCGGCCUGACAGGUCUGCUGUGAAAACUCGAGGCUCAACCUCGAGAUGUCGGCGGAAACCGUCUGGCUAGAGUCCGGAAGAGGAGAGUGGAAUUCCUGGUGUAAGCGGUGAAAUGCGCAGAUAUCAGGAAGAACACCUAUGGCGAAGGCAGCUCUCUGGGACGGUACUGACGCUGAGACGCGAAAGCGUGGGGAGCGAACAGG
rnacentral:rRNA from 1 species